rnacentral:lncRNA from 1 species
UUUAGGAUAAUUAGCUAAGAAGAACAAGAAGAAGAAGACUAGAAGAAGGAGAAGAAAGAGGAGAAGAAGAAGAAGAAGAAGAAGAAGAAGAAGAAGGAGAAUAAGAAGAAGUAGAAAAAGGAGAAGAAGAAGAAGAAGAAGAAGAAGAAGAAGAAGAAGAAGAAGAAGAAGAAGAAGGAGAAUGAGGAGGAGGAGUAGAAGGAGGAGGAGAAGAAGGAGGAGGAGGAGGAGUAGGAGGAGGAGGAGGAGGAGAAGAAGAAGAAGAAGGAGAAGAAGGAGAAAAUGGAGGAGGAGG